rnacentral:tRNA from 1 species
GCGCUUUUAGUUUAGUUCGGUAGAACGCGGGUCUCCAAAAUCCGAUGUCGUGGGUUCAAAUCCUACAAAGCGUG